UUUGACUUGGAGAAUAUGCCAUGCUAUGUGAAUGAGUCUAUUGGUACAGUUUCAGACCAUGGUGUUUGUGAGCAAGUGGAGUUCGUUGUAUGUCCAACUUUGGUAUGGUGUGCUUGAUCUUUUGUCGGUGAUAUUGAAGAAUUUCAGUUCUUCGUUUGAAUCACUUUUGUUUUGAUCAAGGCACUUAUGGUUUGCAAAUUUGGAGAAGACGGUAGAGAAAUGGUCUACUUUUGUUGGCUUUGGUACAAUUUGAGUCGAGGUGGAGAUCAUUAUGAGUACCGAGAGUUUGGGAAUUUGAUAUAGUUCCCGUUGUCUUUAGUUUGUACUUUGGGUGCUUAUGGUGAUUGUUGAUUCGAUUCUCUGUGAAGUUUUCGAAAUUUGGCCAAGGUGGAGAUUGUUGGAUAGUGGCCAAAUUAGUGGCCAAGGGGACAACAAGCCAACUCUCCUUUCGGCUAUUAAACAAAGAAAAGUUUGGUGGACAUCAUCAUGAGUAAAAACACAAUGAUGAUGUUUGUUGAAAAGAAAAAGGAAGGUCAUGAUGAUGUUUGUAAAGGAAUGAUUAUUCCUUUACUUUGGAUUUUUUUAUAGGCAAAUGGAAUUGGGUUUAUUCGGCUCCUUCCUUUGCAACUUGACAAAAGAGCUUUUCUUUGGGUAUUUUCUAAGGCAGCAGCAGCUGCUAUAUGUUUGAGGAGAAGCCGAGAGAAGAAAAGGGGGGGAGCGGCAGAUGAGAGAAACCAGGGAGAGCAUUCGGCUCUCCCAUUUGAAUAUGAGCUGCUCCUUCCCACCAUUUGUAAUAAUCCCAUUUUGUUAGUAAUCACUCAAUCAAAGAUGUUGGUGCUACUUGUGUAGCUUUUGGGAGAGAAGGAUUUUGAUAUGUGUUUCUUCUUCUCCAUUUGUUUCUUAGUUCGAGUGAGAGCUAUUGGUUGUAUGUGGGAUUUGGGUUUGAGAGUUAAAACUCUAUUUGUAAUCUCCUUUUGAUAUAAGUGGAAUUUCCUUGCCGUCUCGGAACUGGACGUAGGCUUACGCCGAACCAGUAUAAAUCAUUGUGUUCUUUGGAUUAUUUGUCUUGUCAUAUUUUGCCGUUGUAAUUUAUUGGUUUCAUAUUUGACGCUUCCGCACAACAAGUACCAUUUGUUUCGGUGUUUGGUAUUUUGAGCCACUUUCUGAUGUUUCCUAAACCUACUUGAGCUCAUCUUGCACUGAAAUUUGAAUAUUCUUGUUUGUAAAGGGUAAUAUUCAGAGCCUUACUGCUGCUGAUCUCGACUGUUUGGGGCGGAUGCAUGACUUCUUUCUCCUCCUUGCCAACUUUACACUCGACAAGGUCUCCAGAAGCAAUCCGGCGAUGCUCAGGCAUUUUCAUUUCUCAACAUUCUUGAGUUGAUACUACACACAUCUCGACCAAUGGUGUUAUUUGUGGAAAAUGUUGUCGGAUUUGAGGUCAAUCCUUGGAAGUUUUAUCUUAAUUGUAGGUAAAAUAUUGAUUUGUUUUUUGUUUUCCAAUUCCUUUGUUUUAUCUCCUGGCUGCAGACAUCUGAUACGCAUACAAAAAUGAUAGAGAUAUUGGGAAGAACAAAUUUUGUUCUGCAGGAGUUCAUAUUGAGUCUGUUACAGUUUGGCGAACCCUAUUCCAGGCCACGCUAUUUUUGCCUGGCAAGGAGGAAACCUUGAACCUUUCACAACAAGUUUUCAAUAAUCAGCUUCUUCGCUCGCUAGGGCCAUUAUUUGGGGAUGCAAAUGCUGAUGAGACAGUGUUCUCUAAACUCGAUGAACCACAAGAGAGCCGGGAUACGUUACUUGAAUAUUGUGAGCCUAUAGAAAGCUUUCUUGAAUUCAAGAAUUGCAGUGACCAAUCGGAGUCCAAUUUUGUGGGCACCACUACUGGUUCUACAAAUACUGAAGGAAUAUUGAAGAAAGAUGAAGGGAGUGGAUUUUGUAGUGGCAUCGUAGAUCAGUACAUUGUUCCAUUAAGCUUGGUAGAGAGGUGGGGAAGUGCCAUGGAUAUCCUUCUUCGUUUCUACGUCCAGUGAUGGCCAAGGUUGGACCCUUGCUUGCCUUGCUUCCAAAAGCUUUAGAUGAUGCUGGGAUUUAUCAUUUUGGCAUGUACAAUGGGACAAUCUAUUUCCAAUUUUCUUGGUGUACGACUAUGUCGCCAGCAAAUGGUACAAUUGUUUCCUCUGUUUCUUUGAUGUGGUUCAUUUCAGCUUUGCUGGGAACUAGGACACAUCUUGUGCAAAGAACGUGAACUUUUAAAAGGUUUCCAGUUUGCUUGAUGCAGUUUACCUGAUCUUUUGUUCUAUGAACUCUGUAUUUUCUAUCAAUUUUCCGUAUUGCUUGACAUAAAAAGCUACGUUAGUUUAGCACUAUUUCCAUGCACUUUCUGAAUUUGUCCAGUAAACUUUCUGUAUUUUUGUUUUAUCUUAUUGAACUCUGAAAUGUUUAUAUGAUCCAUAUCCAUCUGUUUAUUCGAGACUCCUUAACUGUCGGUACCUUGUGCAUUUCAUUGACAACCUUACAUCGCUCCGAAUUUACCAUAUAAAACCCCUGUUUGGCAUGCAUUUAUUUCCUUAUUAGUUUAUGUACUUCGAUCAUAGUAAUCUGAAGGCACUAAUAUUUCUGUUUUGAUAGUGUCAUGACAUUACAAGCAUAUGAUAUGUUCAAUUUAAAAUAAUAAUUCUGAUGCUAUGAACCUAAGCUUUUGAUGGUAUUGAAAUUGUCAUAUUUACAGGAGGUGAUUCACGCAAGUAGAGAGAAGUGAAAGGAAAGAACUAAACUGCUUUGGAUGAUGAGAAGUCUGUAACUAGAUUCAUGUUAUGCAAUUGUUUAUUUGGAAUACGAUCAUGGUAAUUGCGUAUUUGUUUGAAAUUAGCAAGAAAAUUACUCUGUUCGCAUACACAAACAUAAAUAUUGGUACAACUUAUUCAUGCAGUAAUAGUUAUGAAGAUUCAACAGUAAUAUCAUAAAUCUUUUCAAACAUUGGCAUAUCCAAGUUGGUUAAAGCAACGCUCUUUCACUCUGCACUUAAGUUCGAAUGCUCAUAGUUUCUCUUGAAUUAUGGCAUAGAGCUUGCUCACAAUAUUAUUUUGGAACCGCGAAAACCCAGUACUCCAUGGCAUGUUCAACAACAACGAGCCAAGAACACUCCAAAAUCCAAAUGCAAACCCUAGUCCCAAGCUCAGAUCCAACCAACCGUCUUCAAGUAAACGACCAAUUCCUCCCUUUUUUUGAUCACCCGAUGAAAU